rnacentral:rRNA from 1 species
UGAGGAAUAUUGGGCAAUGCCCGCAAGGGUGACCCAGCAACGCCGCGUGGAGGAUGAAUGUCGUAAGAUUGUAAACUCCUGUUAGAGGGGAAGAAUAGUACCGGUUGGACCGGUAUAUGACUGUACCCUCAGAGAAAGCCCCGGCUAACUUCGUGCCAGCAGCCGCGGUAAUACGAAGGGUGCAAGCGUUACUCGGAAUUACUGGGCGUAAAGAGUGAGUAGGCGGUUUUCUAAGUUCGGCGUGAAAUCUCCCGGCUUAACUGGGAGGGUGCGCCGAAGACUGGGAAGCUGGAGUGUGAGAAAGGCAGGCGGAAUUCCUGGUGUAGCGGUGAAAUGCGUAGAUAUCAGGGGGAACACCGGCGGUGUAGACGGCUUGCUAGACCAUAACUGACGCUGAGGCACGAAAGCGUGGGUAGCAAACA